GCCGUAACUACCUAUGAGGCAGGGGAGGCAGUUGCCUCCCCUGAAUUUUCUGCACCAUUUUUUUUUAAAGUAACAAAAUGAAAUAUUGACAAUAUGUACAAGAAGAACUUGAAUUUAUAUCAUAAACAACACAAGUUUACAGUUUUAACAGUGUUAUCAUGAUACAUGAUAUAUCUGUCAUUGUCUGGAUUUUUGAUUGAUAGUGAACCGUUUCAGUAUUUGUUUUAUUUUUAUUUUUUCGUGUGGCCGUCCAUCUGUUAUUCAGUAUUCGUACGAGAACACAUAUGAAACUUUGCUUUCGACAAUUUUGAAUAAAACCUAACUAUUGACAUUUAUUUAGGGGCUCAAUUAAGCAGAGGAAAUUCACUUUGUAUUGUGAUUCUUUUAUGAUAUCGGAAAUUCGUUACCGGCUGAAUCAGUUGUUGGAUCAUUUUUUUAACAUCUCCCGAUCAUACUAGAACAUUAUGGUCAAUGCCUUAGUUACUUAGUUAAACACUCCCAUUCGUUGUAGCAGGGACUUUCUAUACUAAGUAUAUACUAGUAUAGAAAGUCCCUGGUUGUAGUUUAUACAUGUCUGUCCAGCUUUCAACAAUAUUGAAAUCCAAGGUCCUCGUCAAAAAAAAAAUAUCUUGCGUUCUAUGAUCUUGCUUUAUAUGUUUUUUUAACUUACCAGUUUGAUUUCUUACAAAAAUAUCUUUAAAUACAGAUAAUAAUUGUUUGCAUAAAAAUUGCUUCCAGGAUCCAGCAAUACUGAUGUUUCUUAAAGAAAGGAAAUCGAAGAAAAACGGGUAAUUUUUACGGCCACCGAUUUUAUUAAGAAAAAAAUCCGCGGUCACAUUGUAUUUAAUGUUAAUAAUUAUAGGUCAAAGUACGGUAUUCAAGACGUAGCCCUUGCUCAACCCAAAAAGCAAUCUCAGAUUGUUUUUGCAUAAAAUUGCUUCCAGGUUCAAGCAAUACUGAUGUUUCUUAAAGUAAGGAAAUCGAAGGAAAACGGGUAAUUUUUAGCCAUUUUACUGACAGAAAAAAAUAUAAUCGGCGGAUCUACGGGCCUCAAUCGGCGGCCCCCAAACCCCUGCCUCCCCUGAAUUCGAACCCUAGUUACGGCCCUG
rnacentral:lncRNA from 1 species